AGAAAGGAGGAGGAGGAGAAAGGAGGAGGAGGAGAAAGGAGGAGGAGGAGAAAGGAGGAGGAGGAGAAAGGAGGAGGAGAAAGGAGGAGAGGGAGAGGGAGGGGGAGAAGGGGAAGGAGAGGAAGGAGAGGAAGAAGAGGAAGAAGAAGAAAGUAGUAGUUGAAAUUGUUGUUUUGUAGCAUCUACAACUUAGUCCUGAUGAAAGAGAGCCCAGACUGACGGGCAGCUGGUGUGGGCAGCUCCAUCCCUGAGGCUUUCAGGAAAGAAGCAAGGAUCACAAGAAGCCUACCCAGCUGAACCCAGAAUGGAGGAGAGAGGGUGGAGUAUAACUGGCGGGCAGCCCCACAUUCCCUGGCACAGAAUAAUUCAAGUAGGCUGACAAGGAAAGCCACUCCUUAAUGUCACUCUUCUCUACCCAAAUUCCUUACUUUUACCCUGUUGGCCAGAACCCACUUUCACUUCCAUACUUACCUGCCCUCCUUCCUUUCCUGAAACCCCUUCUUCAGGCCAGUUAUGGUCUCUAUUUUCCCUAGGCUCAUCACGGAAUGUCUCAAGAAGAUCAGAUAGUGGGCAUGGGCUCAGCUUUCUGGAGCGCUCUUGCACGACUUCCUGACCUUCUCUCAAUAGAAAUCUGAGCCAUAGAGCUCUACUGAGUAAAGCAGGGGCCAGGAAAAGCCAAGGUCAAAGACCAUCGCAGGUGGCUUCCCUCUAGCCCAGGAACAGUGCCCUCUCCUAAGCUGCAUGGCUGGGCUCAUAAAAUCUCAUCCCCACCCCAGAAGUAAAGAUCCCAAGGUCAGGUUGAGUCAGCUGAGGAUGAGACAGCCCUGCCACCUUAGAUAUGAAGGCCAGCACCCUGGUCCCCUCACGGUGUGCACGACUGGCUGAAUCAGCCUCAGGAGGCCCUCUGUGAGGGCGGUAUCUAAUUUUGUGCUGUGUUGCAUAUUCAGUGUGUGCUUAGUUUUAAUAACAGUAAUGAAAAUAAAUAGAACCCAGGUCCCCCAGUGCUUGAUCCAGCCCUCUUUUCACCAGAUGGGCUCCUUCUGUCUUGCCUAUAAAAAAUGUCACUAAAAAUAUCUCUCUUUUGAGUCUCUACCUUGCUCCGUAGGAGGUGACCACAUUAGGACAGCCAAGAGGCAAUGUCGUAGCUCAGCCAAUGGCCAGCAUCCUCCCGUGAAGGCUGAGCCUCUUGGGCAUUUUUUGCCUGCCUGUGGGGCACAGUGAGAAGCUGGAAAAUACCUCCCAGGCAUCAAAUGCUAUGAGAUGCUGAGCUCAGAGAGAGCUGUAGCAAAUCCUGGGGCAGAGUGACUCCUCACAAACACCUUCUCCUACAAAAGAGGACACCUACAGUCCCAUCUCACAAGAUGCAUCUCCUGCAGUCUCUGUGGUGAGAAUCCAGGUCCAGGAGGUGUUGCAGCUCCACGCUCACUCAUUCAUCAAAGAACACUUGCCAUGUGCCCCCAGUGUGCUGGGCAUGGCCAACUGGGCAUGAGAGUCUUCCUAUCAUCAUCUCUCCUCAGACCCAUCCCAGGAAGCUUCAGGAAGGGCUGCUGAAGAAAGGAAAGGGUGGAAGGAGCCACUAACCAGGCUAGCAGGUGAAACCCAAGGAAACACCUGACAGGGAGCCCUGAGACCUUCAACACCUGGCCACGCUGAAGUGCUGGGAGCAGGCACCGGAGAAGAGCUGGGAGAGCCAAGAGAAGAUCAGAGUGUAUCUGCUAAAAAGGUGGGCCCCAUCCAAUCAGUUGAAGUCCUGACUGGAACAAAAGACUGACCUCCCUUGAGAAAGUGGGAAUUCUGCCAGCAGACAGCCUUCAGACUUGAACUGCAAUGUUGCCUCCUCCCUGGGUCUCCAGCCUGCCAGCCAACCCUGCAGAUUUUCGACUUGCCAGCCUCCAUAAUCGUAUGACCACUUCUUUAAAAUGAAUCUCUCUCUCUCUCUGUUUCUGGACAUACACACACACACACACACACACACACACACACACACACACACACACAGACGCACACACGCACACAACCCUUGUUUCUAUUUCUUUGGAGAAUCCUUACUAACGCGGUUUCCCAUCUUGGCUCCUUAAUGCCUGCACAAGUCUGGCGAGGGAGUAGAGGGAGAGGAGUGGGAGAGCUCGUCUGAGCUCUGAGGAGCAAUGAAUAGACAUGUCAGGAGUGAGCAGUUAGGCAAAGCCAGGGGCCACAGUGAUGAUGACAGGCAGGAGCCAAAAGCCAAGCAAG
rnacentral:lncRNA from 10 species